CGUCUAUAUACGUAUAGCAUAUCAAUAAGCGGAGGAAAAGAAACUAACAAGGAUUCCCUUAGUAACGGCGAGUGAAGCGGGAAGAGCUCAAAUUUGAAAUCUUCAAGGUUUUACCUUGACGAAUUGUAGUUUAAAGAAGUGUUUUCUGUUGAAGUUUUGGUAAAAGUUCUUUGGAAUAGGACAUCAUAGAGGGUGAGAAUCCCGUAUUUGACAUUAUUCUUUCUAGCUUGGUGAUACACUUUCAAAGAGUCGGAUUGUUUGGGAAUGCAGUCCAAAAUGGGUGGUAAAUUUCAUCUAAAGCUAAAUAUUGGCGAGAGACCGAUAGCGAACAAGUACCGUGAGGGAAAGAUGAAAAGAACUUUGAAAAGAGAGUUAAACAGUACGUGAAAUUGUCAAAAGGGAAGCGUUUGACACCAGUGUUGUUUUUCCGAAAAUCAAUUAAGAAUGGCUUGAUUUUGUGUUGUAUUGACCUUAUCAGCUUUCUUCACUCUUUUUCGAGUCUUUCUUAAUGCACUUUUCGGUUAACAAGUCAACAUCAAUUUCUUUUGUUGUAAAAGGGUAUUUGGAAGGUGGCUGUCUUUUCGGAGAAAGUGUUUAUAGCCUUAUACCUCUACAAUCGGAGAGAUUGAGGUCUGCAGCGUAGAUCCUUCGGGGCUAGAUACACUUGUGCUAAGUUAUAGCUUUUCAUAGACAACUUGUUGACUAUGUUUAGUCAUGUAGCUUACCCGCUUGUGCUAUUUUACCUACGCUUAGGAUGUUGAGUCAUCACACAUCUCU
rnacentral:rRNA from 1 species